rnacentral:rRNA from 1 species
AGGCCUUAGGGUUGGUAAAGUACUUUCAGCGGGGGAGGAAGGUGAUAAAGUUAAUACCUUUAUCAAUUGACGUUACCCGGCAGAAGAAGCACCGGGCUAACUCCCGUGCCCAGCAGCCGCGGGUAAUACGGAGGGUGGCAAGCGGUUAAUCGGAAAUUACUGGGCGUAAAGCGCACGCAGGCGGUCAAGUAAGUCAGAUGUGAAAGCCCCGAGCUUAACCUGGGAAUUGCAUCUGAAACUGGUCGGCUAGAGUUUUGUAGAGGGGGGUAGAAUUCCACGUGUAGCGGUGAAAUGCGUAGAGAUUUGGAGGAAUACCGGUGGCGAAGGCGGCCCCCUGGACAAAGACUGACGGUCAGGUGCGAAAGCGUGGGGAGCCAACAGGAUUAGAUACCCUGGUAGUUCACGCCGUAAACGAUGUUGAUUUAGAGGUUGUGGUCUUGAACCGUGGCUUUCGGAGCUAACGCGUUAAAUUGACCGCCUGGGGAGUACGGCCGCAAGGUUAAAACUCAAAUGAAUUGACGGGGGCCCGCACCAGCGGUGGAGCAUGUGGUUUAAUUUGAUGCAACGCGAAGAACCUUACCUACUUUUGACAUCCAGGGAAUCCUUUAGAGAUAGAGGAGUGCCUUUGGGAACGUUGAGACCGGUGGUGCAUGGCUGUUGUCAGCUUGUGUUGUGAAAUGUUGGGUUAAGUCCCGCAACGAGCGCAACCCUUAUCCUUUGUUGCCAGCGGGUCAUGGCGGGAACUCAAAGGAGACUGCCGGUGAUAAACCGGAGGAAGGUGGGGAUGACGUCAAGUCAUCAUGGCCCUUACGAGUAGGGCUACACACGUGCUACAAUGGCAGAUACAAAGAGAAGCGACCUCGCGAGAGCAAGCGGAACUCAUAAAGUCUGUCGUAGUCCGGAUUGGAGUCUGCAACUCGACUCCAUGAAGUCGGAAUCGCUAGUAAUCGUAGAUCAGAAUGCUACGGUGAAUACGUUCCCGGGCCUUGUACACACCGCCCGUCACACCAUGGGAGUGGGUUGCAAAAGAAGUAGGUAGCUUAACCUUCGGGAGGGCGCUACCACUUUGAUUCGUGG